AUACAGAGGGUGCGAGCGUUAAUCGGAAUUACUGGGCGUAAAGCGCACGUAGGUGGGCAAGUAAGUUGUUGGUGAAAAGCCUGGGCUUAACCUGGGUCUGUCCAGCAAAACUGCUAGUCUAGAGUGUAUUAGAGGGAAGUGGAAUUUCCGGUGUAGCAGUGAAAUGCGUAGAUAUCGGAAGGAACACCAGUGGCGAAGGCGACUUCCUGGAAUAUAACUGACACUGAGGUGCGAAAGCGUGGGGAGCAAACAGGAUUAGAAACCCUGGUAGUCC
rnacentral:rRNA from 1 species